rnacentral:rRNA from 1 species
UCCCUACGGGGUGCACCAGGCGCGAAAACUUUACAAUGCUGGCAACAGCGAUAAGGGAACCUCGAGUGCCAGGUUACAAAUCUGGCUGUCGAGAUGCCUAAAAAGCAUUUCAUAGCAAGGGCCGGGCAAAGAACG